rnacentral:lncRNA from 1 species
GUUCGCAGUCUAUUGGGCAUUGCACCUGUAAAAUGUUGGAAGCUCCUUCAGAUGGAUGUCAAAAAAUGUCAUUCUAAAUGGUGAUCUCCAAAAAGAAGUUUAUAUGCAUCCUCAAUCUAGAUUUUCUCAUCCUCCUAAUAAAGUCUAAAAGCUUCAAUGUGCCUUGUAUGGGUUAAAACAUGCACCAUGAGCCUGGUUUGCCAAAUUCAGUUCAACUAUUACUCAGUUUGGUUUUAUUUCUAGUCCACAUGAGUUUGCUUUAUUUAUUCACCGUACUAAUAAUGGCAUUGUUCUCCUGCUUCUUUAUGUUGAUAAUAUGAUAAUAACUGGUGAUGAUGCAACCUGUAUUUCACAGUUACAACAGUAUCUAAAUCAACAAUUUGAGAUGAAGGAUCUUGGUCCUCUAAAUUAUUUCUUGGGUCUUGAAGUUUCAUCCAACUCAGAUGGCUAUUAUCUUUCUUAGGCAAAGUAUGCUUCUGAUUUGCUUUCUCAAGAUGGGAUCACAAACAAUAAGACUGUUUCGAUUCCCUUGGAACCAAAUGUCAAGCUUACUCCUAUGGAUGGUUCUCAGCUUGGUGAUCCUAUUCUCUAUCACCAACUUGUUGGGAGCCUGAUCUAUUUAACUAUGACAUGGCCUCACUUGGUUAGUCAGUUUAUGGCCGCUCCUCGCACAUCUCACUUCUCUACUGUUCUUUCGAUACUUCGCUAUGUGAAGGGUACUCUUUUUUAUGGACUUCAUUUUUCAUCUCAUUCUUUUCUAGUACUAUCUGAGUAUUCUAAUGCGGAUUAGGCUGGUGAUCCUACAAAUUGUCGUUCCACCACUGGUUACUAUUUCUUUUUGGGCAACUCAUUUAUUUCUUGGCACAGUAAGAAGCAGACUGUCGCAGCUCGUUCUAGUACAAAGUCAGAAUAUUGUGCCCUUGCAGAUGCUACUCGGAGUUACUUUGGCUUUGUCGUUUAUUAGAAGAUAUGGGUAUCUCUCACUUAUCUUCUAUUGCUCUUCAUUGUGACAAUCGAAGUGCUAUUCAGAUUGCUCAUAAUAAUGUGUUUCAUGAGCGCACUAAACACAUUGAGAUUGAUUGUCAUUUUAUUCGCGAUCAUGUUACUCUCGGUACUCUCCAUUUAGAAUCUGUAUCUUCCUCUAAUCAGACUGGUGAUAUCUUUACUAAGCCCAAGUUUGAGCCCCAUUUUUUCAUCAAAAUACAUUCUUCAACAGUGAUUUGACAUCAUUUCAACCACACAUUUUUCAAUAAAAUAAUAUUACACGCAAAUUCAUAACUUUUCAUCAUUUUUAACCACACAUUCUCUAUUAUAACACUAUUUCAAAAUGCAUUUUCCUAGAAAAAUGGAGCUUAAACAACCCCUAAAACUCACCUGCCUGGGCAUUUUCACGACCUAGUAUGCAAAACUCAAAAUGACAUCUACAAUACCAUCUUGAGUUUGAGGGAAGGUGUUAGCAUAAUUUGUGUGAUUGUAGCAUAAUUAAUGGGAUUGCUAAUUAUGAGGAUUACAGAUUGCUUAAUUAUAGGAAUUAUUGUAUCUUUCUCAUUUUAUAGCAUGGGCUCUCUUGAAUAAAUAGGGCGUACACCUUGUAUUAUAAAAACAACUUAGAAAUAUAAUUCUCAAGUUUUCAUACUUCUUCUCUGUUUUCUAACAAUAUAAUUCUCCAACUUUCAUACUUCUUCUCUGUUUUCUAACAACCUACGAAUGUAGGCCAUUUCAAAAAAUUCCUCAAAAAUGGAAAAAUGAAAAAAAGAAAAAGAAAAAGCCAAUUGCGUCAUUUGCUUUGGAGCCAAACUACCCUCCUUUUAAAAACCACCUUCUCUCUCUUGCAGUCCCUUGCAACCCUCCAAAACAGUGAGCAUUUGGUUUGCUAUUUGCAAACUGUUUUUGAUUUUCAGUAUUGCAAAACACUAAAAAUGUGUUUGGUUUGAUAUUUCUGAAAAUGCAUUUAGAAAAACAAGAAUAAACUUAUAAUAUAA